GAACAAACAGUGAACGAAAAAGCAGUAGUUUGAUUGGUAGUAGUUCAGAGAGCGAGUGGUUGGUGAAAACUCGUCCACACAAUCAAAUGAAUUACAUUUCGGGAGUUUUCUUUUCGUAGUUAGUUGAUCUAAUGAAGGGAAGAACGUAAGUCUACGUUACAGAUUCGAGUGAUAAGGAAUUUUUCUUUUAUAAGUAUUUAUUUCUUAUAACUAGGGUGGUAACGCGAUCGAGGUCGUCCCUAUA
rnacentral:ncRNA from 1 species